GGAGAGAUGGCAGAGUGGUUGAUUGCGCUUGAUUCGAAAUCAAGUAUACGUGAAAGCGUAUCGGGGGUUCGAAUCCCCCUCUCUCCGCCA
rnacentral:tRNA from 1 species